AUUGGAGUUACUUCUGAUUUAUACCAGCAUAAGCAAGAUUGGAACCAAGCCUUAUGUAGUGAGAAUAUGCCUAAAGCUGCAUAUUAAUCACAGGUGCUUCACGAGCAAUGAUUUUGAAGAUACCUGCAAGCACAGGUUUGAUCCUGAAUUUUACAUCAGUCAUUCCUGAUCUACAGUGGGAUCAAAUGGUUCAGUGAACUUCAAAAUAAAAAGAAACACAGCCAGCCCAGCUGCUCAGUGCUCAGGAGCACAACUCUACAACAACAACCCUGUAUAGUCACACAAUGGGAAAGAAACGCAUCUAUAGAAGUGAGGAAACAGAUUUCAGCUUCAAGCUUCGAGGGGGGUUAAAACAACAGUAUAAACACUAUGUAGGGACCUCACCGAGAUCUGUCCUAGAUCUUCUCAAUCAAGACAAGAAUACGAUCAUGAACUAAAAUAGGAGGAUGAUCAGAGGCUAGAGAGAUGAGAAUGAUGUCCACGUGACCUGGCUGCUCAGUCAAACCAAGAAUAGCAAAGCUACCCUACUGGAGCAUGAAGCAGUUCCAAGGAAUUGAACAGCUAUCAGCACAACUGGCUGGGAGGCUCUGCCAGAGAUCCAGAUGUUGGUGUUAGGGAAACAUAUCUACUAAAGUCUGCCAUCUGGAUCCCAGGGCUGAAGUGAAAGAAAAACACAAAGUAUGGUGAGCAAAUGGUUCUCUGGAUGCCACGUCCCACCCUUCUUUUUAAUUAGUUUAGAAACAUUCUUGGAG